rnacentral:rRNA from 1 species
AAGGACCUACGGGGCGCAGCAGUGGGGAAUAUUGCACAAUGGGCGAAGGCCUGAUGCAGCAACGCCGCGUGAAGGAAGACGGUUUUCGGAUUGUAAACUUCUGUUCUUAGUGAAGAAUAAUGACGGUAACUAAGGAGCAAGCCACGGCUAACUACGUGCCAGCAGCCGCGGUAAUACGUAGGCGGCAAGCGUUGUCCGGAAUUACUGGGUGUAAAGGGAGCGUAGGCGGGAAGCCAAGUCAGCUGUGAAAACUAAGGGCUUAACCUGUAGACUGCAGUUGAAACUGGCUUUCUUGGGUGAAGUAG